UGCCUAAUACAUGCAAGUCGUACGCACUGGCCCAACUGAUUGAUGGUGCUUGCACCUGAUUGACGAUGGAUCACCAGUGAGUGGCGGACGGGUGAGUAACACGUAGGUAACCUGCCCCGGAGCGGGGGAUAACAUUUGGAAACAGAUGCUAAUACCGCAUAACAACAAAAGCCACAUGGCUUUUGUUUAAAAGAUGGCUUUGGCUAUCACUCUGGGAUGGACCUGCGGUGCAUUAGCUAGUUGGUAAGGUAACGGCUUACCAAGGCGAUGAUGCAUAGCCGAGUUGAGAGACUGAUCGGCCACAAUGGAACUGAGACACGGUCCAUACUCCUACGGGAGGCAGCAGUAGGGAAUCUUCCACAAUGGGCGCAAGCCUGAUGGAGCAACGCCGCGUGAGUGAAGAAGGGUUUCGGCUCGUAAAGCUCUGUUGUUGGAGAAGAAUGUGCGUGAGAGUAACUGUUCACGCAGUGACGGUAUCCAACCAGAAAGUCACGGCUAACUACGUGCCAGCAGCCGCGGUAAUACGUAGGUGGCAAGCGUUAUCCGGAUUUAUUGGGCGUAAAGCGAGCGCAGGCGGUUGCUUAGGUCUGAUGUGAAAGCCUUCGGCUUAACCGAAGAAGUGCAUCGGAAACCGGGCGACUUGAGUGCAGAAGAGGACAGUGGAACUCCAUGUGUAGCGGUGGAAUGCGUAGAUAUAUGGAAGAACACCAGUGGCGAAGGCGGCUGUCUGGUCUGCAACUGACGCUGAGGCUCGAAAGCAUGGGUAGCGAACAGGAUUAGAUACCCUGGUAGUCCAUGCCGUAAACGAUGAGUGCUAGGUGUUUGGAGGGUUUCCGCCCUUCAGUGCCGGAGCUAACGCAUUAAGCACUCCGCCUGGGGAGUACGACCGCAAGGUUGAAACUCAAAGGAAUUGGCGGGGGCCCGCACAAGCGGU
rnacentral:rRNA from 1 species